rnacentral:tRNA from 1 species
GGGCUGGUAGCUCAAUGGUAGAGCAGUGGCCUUUUAAGCCAUUGGUUCUGGGUUCGAAUCCCAGUCGGCCCACCA